GACGAACGCUGGCGGCGUGCUUAACACAUGCAAGUCGAACGGAAAGGCCCUGCUUGCAGGGUACUCGAGUGGCGAACGGGUGAGUAACACGUGGGUGAUCUGCCCUGCACUUCGGGAUAAGCCUGAGAAACUGGGUCUAAUACCGGAUAGGAGCCAUUUUUAGUGUGAUGGUUGGAAAGUUUUUUCGGUGUAGGAUGAGCUCGCGGCCUAUCAGCUUGUUGGUGGGGUAAUGGCCUACCAAGGCGGCGACGGGUAGCCGGCCUGAGAGGGUGGACGGCCACAUUGGGACUGAGAUACGGCCCAGACUCCUACGGGAGGCAGCAGUGGGGAAUAUUGCACAAUGGGCGCAAGCCUGAUGCAGCGACGCCGCGGGGGGGAUGACGGCCUUCGGGUUGUAAACUCCUUUCGCUAGGGACGAAGCUUUUUGUGACGGUACCUAGAUAAGAAGCACCGGCUAACUACGUG
rnacentral:rRNA from 1 species